UUUCUUAUUUCUAAAUUAAAUAGCUAUAUUCUGGAGGAAGUCAUGCGAUGGUAUCACAUCUUACAAUGAAUGGUGAAGUUAAAACACAGGUUCCGUGUACACCAAAUAGUGUCUUUUCAUUAGCUAUAAACAUAUCCUCUGAGACAAACAAGGUGCUAAGUGUUGCAGGUAGCAGUUCUCAAGUCGACAUCUUCACAAACUUCGGCUACCGAGCCUUUUCAUUUCAAGCCGUCCCAUGACUGAAUGUAAACAACUAAAGAAUCAUGGUACAAAUAUUUGAUAUUAUACUCCAGGUAGAUACAUUUCAUAGACUAAAUUUGACCGCUCAGUUUGUAUUUCACUGAUGUAAACAUCAGUCAACAAGCCUUAAAAAAAUACAUGUUAUAAUUUUAUUCAAAAUUAAAGAAAAAACCCUUCAUCUAAAUUACUACAAAACAUGUGCUUAGGCCUGGAGAAAAAAACUUGUUGCACAGCUGGUUGUACUAUGACAAUGAAGGUGUGUUUGACAAAAUAAUCUGGAACGAUUAAUAAGAUUCAAAUACAGGAGGAAAAAGAGGCACAACCACUGCUGAGAUUGAUUUGGUGAUUAUGUUUAGUUUCUGGUACAUUCUGUCUAGCAAUGCUACAAUACUCACAUGGAUGGAAUUGGUAGCGACACUAAUGAAUGGUACAGUAUGGUGUGUUUGAAACAAAAAAUUAAUAUACUUUAUUACUGUCGCAUUUUUAAUAAAAUCAUUUUGCUAUUGUGGUACAAAUAAUCUCAGUGCACUGAUUUUGUUUGUUUGUUUGUUUUUUUUUGUAUAAUUGUUUUGUACUGAAUAAAUAAAAAAAAAGUUAGAGUAGGUUUGGAAGAUAAAGUAUGAUUAAUAAUAAGAUGGUCAGAUUAAAAUA